rnacentral:rRNA from 1 species
UAACGCGUGGGUAACCUGCCUCACACAGGGGAUAACAGUUGGAAACGGCUGCUAAUACCGCAUAAGCGCACAGUACCGCAUGGUACAGUGUGAAAAACUCCGGUGGUGUGAGAUGGAUCCGCGUCUGAUUAGCUAGUUGGCAGGGCAACGGCCUACCAAGGCGACGAUCAGUAGCCGACCUGAGAGGGUGACCGGCCACAUUGGGACUGAGACACGGCCCAA